rnacentral:rRNA from 1 species
CGAACGCUGGCGGCGUGCUUAACACAUGCAAGUCGAACGCGAAAGGGACUUCGGUCCUGAGUAAAGUGGCGCACGGGUGAGUAACGCGUAGAUAACCUGUCUUCAUGUCUGGAAUAAUACGCCAAAGGGGUACUAAUACCGGAUAUUCUUGCUUUUCAUAAGUUAUGCAAGCAAAGGUGGCCUCUGCAUAUGCUACUGCAUGAAGAGGGGUCUGCGUACCAUUAGCUAGUAGGUGGGGUAAUGGCCUACCUAGGCGACGAUGGUUAGCGGGUCUGAGAGGAUGAUCCGCCACACUGGCACUGGAACACGGGCCAGACUCCUACGGGAGGCAGCAGUGAGGAAUAUUGCGCAAUGGGGGAAACCCUGACGCAGCGACGCCGCGUGAGUGAGGAAGGCCUUCGGGUCGUAAAGCUCUGUCAAGAGGAAAGAAGUGUACAAUGGCUAAUACCUGUUGUAUUUGACGGUACCUCUAAAGGAAGCACCGGCUAACUCCGUGCCAGCCGCCGC